UUGAACGCUGGCGGCAGGCCUAACACAUGCAAGUCGAACGGUAACAGGAAGCAGCUUGCUGCUUCGCUGACGAGUGGCGGACGGGUGAGUAAUGUCUGGGGAACUGCCUGAUGGAGGGGGAUAACUACUGGAAACGGUAGCUAAUACCGCAUAACGUCGCAAGACCAAAGAGGGGGACCUUAGGGCCUCUUGCCAUCGGAUGUGCCCAGAUGGGAUUAGCUAGUAGGUGGGGUAACGGCUCACCUAGGCGACGAGCCCUAGCUGGUCUGAGAGGAUGACCAGCAGCACGGGAACUGAGACAAGGUCCAGACUCGUACGGGAGGCAGGAGUGGGGAAUAUUGCACAAUGGGCGCAAGCCUGAUGCAGCCAAGCCGCGUGUAUGAAGAAGGCCUUCGGGUUGUAAAGUUCGUUGAGCGGGGAGGAAGGGAGUAAUGUUAAUACCUUUGCUCAUUGACGUUACCCGCAGAAGAAGCACCGGCUAACUCCGUG
rnacentral:rRNA from 1 species